rnacentral:tRNA from 1 species
GCGACCCAAGUUUGCUAAACACUUUCCUUCCACGAAAGAGUCUCCUUAGGUUAGGAGGGUUGUA